UUCCAUAUAGUUUAAUAAGAAUAGAAUUUUGAAGAAGUUAAGGUAGUUUAAAACUUUUGGAAA
rnacentral:tRNA from 1 species